GACGAACGCUGGCGGCGUGCUUAACACAUGCAAGUCGAACGGAAAGGCCCUGCUUUUGUGGGGUGCUCGAGUGGCGAACGGGUGAGUAACACGUGAGUAACCUGCCCUCGACUUUGGGAUAACUUCAGGAAACUGGGGCUAAUACCGGAUAGGAGCUCCUGCUGCAUGGUGGGGGUUGGAAAGUUUCGGCGGUUGGGGAUGGACUCGCGGCUUAUCAGCUUGUUGGUGGGGUAGUGGCUUACCAAGGCUUUGACGGGUAGCCGGCCUGAGAGGGUGACCGGCCACAUUGGGACUGAGAUACGGCCCAGACUCCUACGGGAGGCAGCAGUGGGGAAUAUUGCACAAUGGGCGGAAGCCUGAUGCAGCAACGCCGCGUGCGGGAUGACGGCCUUCGGGUUGUAAACCGCUUUCGCCUGUGACGAAGCGUGAGUGACGGUAAUGGGUAAAGAAGCACCGGAUAACUACGUG
rnacentral:rRNA from 1 species